AGGUGGGCAAGCGUUGUUUAUUGAUUGAUUUAGAGUAAAGCGCCGGGCAGGCGGCUAUGUCGUUAUAGUUGUGGAGGCCCCGCCCCUCAAUCCUCCGUUUCGCAUCGCGCAGGUUAGUAGUUUUGAUUGGAGAAAGAGGAAAGUCGUUAUUUCAUCGCGUAGAUAGAAAUGUAGUAGAGUAGAGGAGGGACGCCACUGGCGGGUGUAUGUUUUUUUUUUUGUAACUGACAUGAGAGCAGAAAGAGUGGGGAGCAAACAAAAAUAGAUUACUUCGUAGUCUAUCCCGUAAACAAUAAGUGUUAGGUGGAUGGGGUGUCAAUUCCCUCAUCAGCUACAGCAAUAACAAUAAGCACCUCCGCCUGGGGAGUAGCGCUCGCAAGAAUGAAACUCAAAGGAAGGGGCGGCGCGCCCGCACCACGAGGUGGAGCAUGUAUUUUUAUUAGAAGCAACGAGAAGAACCUUCCCAGGUAUUGACAUCCCGCCAACCGAUCUGGAGACAGACCUUCCCUUCGGGGCAGCGGUGACAGCUGGGGCAUGGUCGUCGUCAGUUGGGGUCGUGAGGUGUAAGGUUAAGUCCCGCAACGAGCCCAACCCUUACUUUUCCUUUCCAGCAUUCAGUUGGGCACUCUAGAGAGACUGCCGUCGACAAGACGGAGGAAGGGGGGGAGGAAGUCAAUUCAUCAUGCCCCUUAUGGCCUGGCCUACACACGUCAUACAAUGGUUGGUACAACGGGAUGCUACCUCGGGAGAGGGAACCAAUAUCAGAAAACCAAUCUUAGUUCGGAUUUUAGUAUGCAACUCGCCUGCAUGAAGUGGGAAUCGUUAGUAAUCGCGGAUCAGCAUGCCGCGGUGAAUACGUUCCCGGGCCUUGUACACACCGCCCGUCACACCACGGGAGUUUGCACCACCCGAAGUCGGUGAGGUAACCGCAAGGAGGCAGCCGCCGAAGGUGGGUGACGG
rnacentral:rRNA from 1 species